rnacentral:RNase_P_RNA from 1 species
GGAAUAAGCCGUCCUACCGCUGCGGUGAAUGCCGGAGAGGAAAGUCCGGACAGCACAGAGUGCCGUACUUCCUAACGGGAAGGCAGUCGAUUGGUGACGAUCAGCUGACAGCUAGUGCAACAGAGAAUAUACCGCCUGGCACAUUUUUUUAUGACAGGUAAGGGUGAAAAGGUGGAGUAAGAGACCACCGCUUCAAAGGUGACUUUGAAGGCACGGUAAACCUUACGGGCUGAAAGAUCAAAUAGGUGUUAAUUUGUGGGGCUGCUCGCCUCCGUUUUUCGGAACAUUAGCACGGGUAGAUCGUUAGAGGUUUUGAGUGAUCAAAAUCCUGGAUAAAUGGUAGGAAUUCCGGUGCAGACCGGAGUACAGAAUCCGGCUUACAGGCUUUUUCCUUUU